AAGUCGUAACAAGGUAUCCGUAGGUGAACCUGCGGAUGGAUCAUUACAAAUUUAUAGCUGACGCUAUCUAUUUUACCAUUUGUGAAUAUAGAGACUCGUCUCUGUUAUUUUACUUGUCAUCAUGAUAAUUAUUGUUGUUUAUUUUAAGCAAAAAACUUUUAGCAACGGAUCUCUAGCUUCUCA
rnacentral:misc_RNA from 1 species